rnacentral:rRNA from 1 species
UACGGAGGGGGCUAGCGUUGUUCGGAAUUACUGGGCGUAAAGCGCACGUAGGCGGCUUUGUAAGUUUGGUGUGAAAUCUCCCGGCUUAACUGGGAGGGUGCGCCGAAAACUGGAAGGCUUGAGUAUGGGAGAGGUAAGCGGAAUUCCUGGUGUAGCGGUGAAAUGCGUAGAUAUCAGGAGGAACACCUGCGGUGUAGACGGCUUACUGGACCAUAACUGACGCUGAGGCACGAAAGCGUGGGUAGCAAACAGG